rnacentral:rRNA from 1 species
UAUUGGACAAUGGGCGAAAGCCUGAUCCAGCAAUGCCGCGUGAGUGAUGAAGGCCUUAGGGUUGUAAAGCUCUUUUACCAGGGAUGAUAAUGACAGUACCUGGAGAAUAAGCUCCGGCUAACUCCGUGCCAGCAGCCGCGGUAAUACAGGGGGUGCAAGCGUUGCUCGGAAUUACUGGGCGUAAAGCGUGCGCAGGCGGUUUGUCAAGUCGGGGGUGAAAACCCGGGGCUCAACCCCGGAAUUGCCUCCGAAACUGGCAGACUUGAGUACGAGAGAGGGUCGCGGAAUUCUUGGUGUAGAGGUGAAAUUCGUAGAUAUCAGGAAGAACACCAGUGGCGAAAGCGGCGACCUGGCUCGAUACUGACGCUCAUGCACGAAAGCGUGGGGAGCAAAC